GGAGAAGGUCUGCGCAUGCGCAGAACGUAAAACCUUACGCUUGCAUAUUUUGUUAAGAAGACAUUAACGAAUGUUAUUCGCCUUGAUGAGGGCUACAACUUUGCUUAAUAUCCUUACAACAAAAGAUGCGUAUUUACCAAGAUAGAUCUGCGAAUGCGCAGUACAUAACCUUCUAUAACUCGGGACCAAUGCGGCGGCUGGGGACGACACUAUUAGCAUUGGAUUCAGCGUAAAAUUCUGAUUCAGAAAAUGAUUUCAUGGACAUUUUUCGUGACAUCAACUUUUCCGCGAAACUUUCAGCCAGAUAGAGCUCCAGACCGAAAUGCCGGCUGGGAAGGAAAAGGCCUGCGCAUGCGCAGAACGUAAACCCUUACGCUUGCAUAUUUUGUUAAGAAGACAUUAACGAAUGUUAUUCGCCUUCAUGAGGGCUACAACUUUGCUUAAUAUCCUUACAACAAAAGAUGCGUAUUUACCAAGAUAGAUCUGCGAAUGCGCAGUACAUAACCUUCUAUAACUCGGGACCAAUGCGGCGGCUGGGGACGACACUAUUACCAUUGGAUUCAGCGUAAAAUUCUGAUUCAGAAAAUGAUUUUAUGGACAUUUUUCGUGACAUCAACUUUUCCGCGAAACUUUCAGCCAGAUAGAGCUCCAGACCGAAAUGCCGGCUGGGAAGGAGAAGGCCUGCGCAUGCGCAGAACGUAAAACCUUACGCUUGCAUAUUUUGUUAAGAAGACAUUAACGAAUGUUGUUCGCCUUCAUGAGGGCUACAACUUUGCUUAAUAUCCUUUCAACAAAAGAUGCGUAUUUACGAAGAUAGAUUUUCGCAUGCGCAGUACAUAACCUUCCAUAACUCGGGACCAAUGCGGCGGCUCGGGACGACACUAUUACCAUUGGAUUCAGCAUAAAAUUCUGAUUCAGAAAAUGAUUUCAUGGACAUUUUUCGUGACAUCAACUUUUCCGCGAAACUUUCAGCCAGAUAGAGCUCCAGACCGAAAUGCCGGCUGGGAAGGAGAAGGUCUGCGCCUGCGCAGAACGUAAAACCUUACGCUUGCAUAUUUUGUUAAGAAGACAUUAACGAAUGUUAUUCGCCUUGAUGAGGGCUACAACUUUGCUUAAUAUCCUUUCAACAAAAGAUGCGUAAUUACGAAGAUAGUUCUGCGCAUGCGCAGUACAUAACCUUCCAUAACUCGGGACCAAUGCGGCGGCUGGGGACGACACUAUCACCAUUGGAUUCAGCGUAAAAUUCUGACUCAGAAAAUGAUUUCAUGGACAUUUUUCGUGACAUCAACUUUUCCGCGAAACUUUCAGCCAGAUAGAGCUCCAGACCGAAAUGCCGGCUGGGAAGGAGAAGGUCUGCGCAUGCGCAGAACGUAAAACGUUACUCUUGCAUAUUUUGUUAAGAAGACAUUACCGAAUGUUGUUUGCCUUCAUGAGGGCUACAACUUUGCUUAAUAUCCUUUCAACAAAAGAUGCGUAUUUACGAAGAUAGAUCUGCGCAUGCGCAGUACAUAACCUUCCAUAACUCGGGACCAAUGCGGCGGCUGGGGACGACACUAUCACAGUUGGAUUCAGCGUAAAAUUCUGAUUCAGAAAAUGAUUUCAUGGACAUUUUUCGUGACAUCAACUUUUCCGCGAAACUUUCAGCCAGAUAGAGCUCCAGACCGAAAUGCCGGCCGGGAAAGAGAA
rnacentral:lncRNA from 1 species